UAGGCUGAGGAGCAAAAGGAGAAAGCCGCCCAAGGAGGGGCUCGCGUCUGAUUAGCUAGUUGGUGAGGCAAUAGCUUACCAAGGCGAUGAUCAGUAGCUGGUCCGAGAGGAUGAUCAGCCACACUGGGACUGAGACACGGCCCAGACUCCUACGGGAGGCAGCAAUGGGGAAUUUUCCGCAAUGGGCGAAAGCCUGACGGAGCAAUGCCGCGUGGAGGUGGAAGGCCUACGGGUCGUCAACUUCUUUUCUCGGAGAAGAAACAAUGACGGUAUCUGAGGAAUAAGCAUCGGCUAACUCUGUGCCAGCAGCCGCGGUAAGAC
rnacentral:ncRNA from 1 species